AUAUAAUUUUUUUUGCGCAUUUCCUAAUUAUUAUUUCAAAAGUUUUGAUUUAUAUAUUACAAUAAAAUGGUGUAUAACUAUGACUCUUGAGUAGUUGGAUAAUAAGCAACGUAGAAAUUUGCUAAAAAAAUCUUCAAAUUAACUUCCAUGACAUAUUUGGAAAUUUACAAGAUCUUGAUAGGUAAUUUUUUAAAAAUAUGAUGCAAAAAUUGCUCAUGAAAAUAUAUGAUAUUUGCUAGAUAAUAUUAUAUAUACUUUGCAAUAUUCAAGAAAUGUGUUAAAGGGGUCUAUAUCAAAAAUACAUUUUAUUAGAUUUCCAUGCAUAUAAAAAUGAACAAAUGGAUUUACUUUCCCUAUGAUAAACUCAUAAUAACUGGUAAUAUAAAAGAUUUUGAAAGGUAUUUUAAACAUAAUAUAAAAAUGACACAUGAAAAUAUUUGAUUCAUAACAUUGUAAUGUGAUAAUUUGGAAUAUAGAUAACUUUAAAGCCUUAAAGAAAAUUGUUAAUAAACAGGUCUUUAUCAAAAAUGUUUCUUAGGCAUAUUAGCUAUAUGGAAAAAUGAUGUAUAUAUAUUUAUAUUGUUACAUUUAAUUUUAGAUUGCUUGGCUUCCAAUGGAAACAAUUAUAUUUACUUUCCCAGUAGGUAACAAUUACAAUAGAACCUUUCCAAAAACAAAUUUUCAAAAAUUAAAAGGGAUAACUAGUUAUCCCUUUUGAAAAUAGCUAAUCAUGUUAAAAAUUAUUUUGUAAAUUUAUUAUAUAACUCAUUAUUUUGAA